GAUAACAUACGUCAAGAAUUUAAAAUGAUGAAACACACUAACAAUAACACGAUAUAAUUACUGUUAAGGCUAUUUGAUUCUUCCUAAUGAAACUACCUUUUGUUUCCCAACCAGGUGAAGCCAAGCUUCCGUUGUAUCCAGCCCAACUACUUAUAAAACGCCAAGGCUUGAUUUGAAUCUACAAUUAUUCUAAUAGAAAGACGUGGGAUUUAUCGCUUUGGUGAAUUACACUAUACAUAUAAACACACCUUUGGAAGAUCUCUCAGUAUAGAGGACCAGGAGGCCGGCAACACCAAGUGAAAAGUYAGAGAAUUAUAAAUAGACAAACCGCACUAUUCGAAAAAUCAUCGCUAUCAAAUAAGAUGUUUUGGUGUGUUAUAUUGCUGUGUGUUUCGUGUAGCGCACAGCCCGUCGAUUUAGAAACAAGUGCUACGACAAAAAACGAUGAAAGUGCUCUUAUUGAUGAAUUGGUUCAACUAACKAAGUAUAAAUGGGAAGGUACAACCACGGUGGACAGCAAAAACAGCAUUUCUGUACACAAAAAAGAGAGAAUAUGGAACUACGCCAGAGAUGCUAGCUCACAUUUAAAUCCCUGUACACUUUCACAACAAGAAUGGGAAACAGCGAAAUAUUUAAACCAAGAUUCAUACGACUUUCAUCCUGAAUUAAUAACAGUUAAACAAUGCACAGGCGUAGGCAACAAUGGUAUCUAUAAGCAACAAUGUAUGAGACUGAUGGAUUGUGUCACUCAAUAUCAACGACAAAGAUUCCUGCGAAAGCCCAAAGGUUCAUCGUGCAUGAAUUGGCAUAAAUAUGAAGAAGACAUACCAGUGGGCUGCGAAUGUAUGAUGCAAUCAUAAAACAAAUUGACGCGGUACAGAUUCAAUCGACCUUGUCGCGAAACAGGUUGCUAAUGGCAUGGACGGURGACGAGAAUGUAUAACGAAGAAAGAAUAACAAUGUCUUUAGCGACAAAGUUCAUUAAAUCAGUAUCAAUAAAUUCACAUACUUUUA